rnacentral:rRNA from 1 species
GUACAAGCAGUGGGAGCCCACUUUGUUGGGUGACUGCGUACCUUUUGUAUAAUGGGUCAGCGACUUAUUUUCAGUGGCGAGCUUAACCGAAUAGGGGAGGCGUAGCGAAAGCGAGUCUUAAUAGGGCGUCUAGUCGCUGGGAAUAGACCCGAAACCGGGCGAUCUAUCCAUGGGCAGGUUGAAGGUUGGGUAACACUAACUGGAGGACCGAACCGACUACCGUUGAAAAGUUAGCGGAUGACCUGUGGAUCGGAGUGAAAGGCUAAUCAAGCUCGGAGAUAGCUGGUUCUCCUCGAAAGCUAUUUAGGUAGCGCCUCAUGUAUCACUGUAGGGGGUAGAGCACUGUUUCGGCUAGGGGGUCAUCCCGACUUACCAAACCGAUGCAAACUCCGAAUACCUACAAGUGCCGAGCAUGGGAGACACACGGCGGGUGCUAACGUCCGUCGUGAAAAGGGAAACAACCCAGACCGUCAGCUAAGGUCCCAAAGUUAUGGUUAAGUGGGAAACGAUGUGGGAAGGCUUAGACAGCUAGGAGGUUGGCUUAGAAGCAGCCACCCUUUAAAGAAAGCGUAAUAGCUCACUAGUCGAGUCGGCCUGCGCGGAAGAUGUAACGGGGCUCAAACCAUACACCGAAGCUACGGGUAUCACUUAGGUGAUGCGGUAGAGGAGCGUUCUGUAAGCCUGUGAAGGUGAGUUGAGAAGCUUGCUGGAGGUAUCAGAAGUGCGAAUGCUGACAUGAGUAACGACAAUGGGUGUGAAAAACACCCACGCCGAAAGACCAAGGUUUCCUGCGCAACGUUAAUCGACGCAGGGUUAGUCGGUCCCUAAGGCGAGGCUGAAAAGCGUAGUCGAUGGAAAACAGGUUAAUAUUCCUGUACUUCUGGUUAUUGCGAUGGAGGGACGGAGAAGGCUAGGCCAGCUUGGCGUUGGUUGUCCAAGUUUAAGGUGGUAGGCUGGAAUCUUAGGUAAAUCCGGGAUUCCAAGGCCGAGAGCUGAUGACGAGUGUUCUUUUAGAACACGAAGUGGUUGAUGCCAUGCUUCCAAGAAAAGCUUCUAAGCUUCAGGUAACCAGGAACCGUACCCCAAACCGACACAGGUGGUUGGGUAGAGAAUACCAAGGCGCUUGAGAGAACUCGGGUGAAGGAACUAGGCAAAAUGGCACCGUAACUUCGGGAGAAGGUGCGCCGGUGAGGGUGAAGCAUUUACUGCGUAAGCCCACGCCGGUCGAAGAUACCAGGCCGCUGCGACUGUUUAUUAAAAACACAGCACUCUGCAAACACGAAAGUGGACGUAUAGGGUGUGACGCCUGCCCGGUGCCGGAAGGUUAAUUGAUGGGGUUAGCUAACGCGAAGCUCUUGAUCGAAGCCCCGGUAAACGGCGGCCGUAACUAUAACGGUCCUAAGGUAGCGAAAUUCCUUGUCGGGUAAGUUCCGACCUGCACGAAUGGCGUAACGAUGGCGGCGCUGUCUCCACCCGAGACUCAGUGAAAUUGAAAUCGCUGUGAAGAUGCAGUGUAUCCGCGGCUAGACGGAAAGACCCCGUGAACCUUUACUAUAGCUUUGCACUGGACUUUGAAUUUGCUUGUGUAGGAUAGGUGGGAGGCUUUGAAGCGUGGACGCCAGUUCGCGUGGAGCCAACCUUGAAAUACCACCCUGGCAACUUUGAGGUUCUAACUCAGGUCCGUUAUCCGGAUCGAGGACAGUGUAUGGUGGGUAGUUUGACUGGGGCGGUCUCCUCCUAAAGAGUAACGGAGGAGUACGAAGGUGCGCUCAGACCGGUCGGAAAUCGGUCGUAGAGUAUAAAGGCAAAAGCGCGCUUGACUGCGAGACAGACACGUCGAGCAGGUACGAAAGUAGGUCUUAGUGAUCCGGUGGUUCUGUAUGGAAGGGCCAUCGCUCAACGGAUAAAAGGUACUCCGGGGAUAACAGGCUGAUACCGCCCAAGAGUUCAUAUCGACGGCGGUGUUUGGCACCUCGAUGUCGGCUCAUCACAUCCUGGGGCUGAAGCCGGUCCCAAGGGUAUGGCUGUUCGCCAUUUAAAGUGGUACGCGAGCUGGGUUUAGAACGUCGUGAGACAGUUCGGUCCCUAUCUGCCGUGGACGUUUGAGAUUUGAGAGGGGCUGCUCCUAGUACGAGAGGACCGGAGUGGACGAACCUCUGGUGUUCCGGUUGUCACGCCAGUGGCAUUGCCGGGUAGCUAUGUUCGGAAUAGAUAACCGCUGAAAGCAUCUAAGCGGGAAACUAGCCUCAAGAUGAGAUCUCACUGGGACCUUGAGUCCCCUGAAGGGCCGUCGAAGACUACGACGUUGAUAGGUUGGGUGUGUAAGCGCUGUGAGGCGUUGAGCUAACCAAUACUAAUUGCCCGUGAGGCUUGACCAU